ensembl:lncRNA
CCUGACUGAAGCGGUGGAGAAACACCAGAAGGCUGAGGAGACCAUCACUCAGCUGCAGAUGGAGAAGGCUGACCUGACCAACCAGGUGGAGACACAGCGAGGAAAAAUGCAGGACGUGGAGAAGCUGCUGUCUGAGACUCACAGGAUGUUUGAUGAUCUAAUGAAUGAGUAUCAGAUGAAGAACGAUGAGAUGAAAAAGCGUCUGAUAGACGCAGAGGAGAUACUGAAGUUCUCCAUGACUGAGGCUGAGGAGUCCAUCACUCAGCUGCAGAUGGAGAAGGCUGACCUGACCAACCAGGUGGAGACACUGCAAGAGACAGUGCAGUACUUGGGGAACCUCCUCAAUGAGACUCACAGGUGCUCUGAUGAUCUAAUGAAUGAGUAUCAGAUGAAGAACGAUGAGACGGAGAAGCGUCUGAUAGACGCAGAGGAGAUACUGAAGGCCUCCCUGACUGAAGUGGAGAAGAAACACCAGAAGGCUGAGGAGACCAUCACUCUGCUGCAGGUGGAGAAGGCUGACCUGACCACCCAGGUGGAGACACUGCAAGAGACAGUGCAGUACUUGGGGAACCUCCUCAAUGAGACUCACGGGUGCUCUGAUGAUCUAAUGAAUGAGUGUGAGUGUGAGCGAGAGGCUUACAGCAACCUCAAGUCCGAGUACGAGGAGAUGAAGGAGACUCUCAUCAACAAGGAGGAGAUACUGAAGGCCUCCCUGACUGAAGUGGAGGAGAAACACCAGAAGGCUGAGGAGUCCAUCACUCUGCUGCAGGUGGAGAAGGCUGACCUGACCACCCAGGUGGAGAGACUGCGAGAGACAGUGCAGUACUUGGGGAACCUGUUCACUGAGGCUCAGAUGGAGUGUGAUGAGCUAAGAGAUAUUUUUUCACAGAAACAUGGCGUAACUUUUAGAUCCCAGGAGGCAAGUGUUUGAGACAGAAGACAGUGAGAACAGAAAUGGAUCCUCAGCAGAAUCAACAUGACGGGGGAAUGAGGGGUGAAAAUAAGAACGUAACAUAACUUACAGUUUCUUACGAUCGCUAUGACAAUUUUUAAAAUACUUUUAACAAUUUUCAUAAACUCUUAACGCACCGACACACCCACAACACACAACUGGCAAAACGGUUCAUUACAUGCUCGAGAUCACACUGUAAACUAAACUCCAACGCUAAUUCUCAAAAUACAAUAAUACACUAACACAUUACACUAUGUCUACCAAAACACUGCAAACACGUCUGAAAAUCAAAUCAUCUUCUUAUCUGCCUGGCUUUCUGCGUUUGGCCACAUGUUCUCAUCCACGUCACACCUGAUCCAGGAGGGACAUUUGGUGUCCCUGUGUUUAGCUAGAGUCCGAGAAAUGGGUGUUACGCCGAUUGCUGCAACGUUCCCAAAGACGAGGUUGUCCUCUACAACUCUGUCCUUCUGUUUCAUUUCAUUGUCAGCAGUCACCAUGUGGACAAUAGCAAGUUCCUGUUCUUCAUUUAGUAGGUAGACGUUGAAUCCUUAGAGAGACAGAAUGCCGGUUUAGAACAUGAUGUUACCUGUUCUGACGUACAGCGUGAAAGCAUUGGUCAAUUUGGCAGUAAAAAUGCAUUGUUUUGGUCUCGAUUGAGCUCGUGUGUAAAAGAAGCAUUUUAAAUUUGUGUGAACUAUAUGCAUUUUGUGUCAAAGCAACAAGAAAUGUGUUAAUUGUACAGCCUACACAGACGGGUGUUGUGCUAAUUGUGGGUGGGUGUAGGGGCGGCUGUGGAUCAGGUGGUAGAGCGGGGUGUACACUAAUCGUAGGGUUGGCGGUUCGAUUUCCGGCCCAAAUGACACCACAUGCCGAAGUGUCCUUGGGCAAGACACUGAACCCCAAGUGCCUUGCAUAGCAGCUCUGCUACCAUUGUGUGUGUGUGUGUGUGUGUGUGAGAGAGAGGGUGAAUGAGACACAGUAUAAAGCGCUUUGGAUAAAAGCGCUAUAUAAGUGCAGACCAUUUACCGUUUAACUGUGUUAAGAGUUUAGGAAAAUUGUUAAAAGCAUUGAACAAAUGGUCAUAAUGGUAAAGACCUGGAAUCAGAUCAGUACGGUUCAUACUGUUGAAUUUAUCACUUUUUUUCACCCUUUAUCGCAUUUUUCACCCUUCGUACGUCAUAAGCUACAAGAAAAAAUACAACCAAGAAAUCAACACAAAGACUUUGACAAUCCCACAGAAAGAAAUAUGUGUAUUUAAGAAAAAUGUUUGUUUUUAGAUGUGAAUAAUAAAUGAAUGAA